rnacentral:rRNA from 1 species
GACAGAGGAUGCAAGCGUUAUCCGGAAUGAUUGGGCGUAAAGCGUCUGUAGGUGGCUUUUUAAGUCCGCCGUCAAAUCCCAGGGCUCAACCCUGGACAGGCGGUGGAAACUACCAAGCUGGAGUACGGUAGGGGCAGGAGGGAAUUUCCGGGUGGAGCGGUGAAAUGCGUAGAGAUCGGAAAGAACACCAACGGCGAAAGCACUCUGCUGGGCCGACACUGACGCUGAGAGACGAAAGCUAGGGGAGCGAAUGGGAUUAGAACCGUACGGUAGU